AGUGAACGCUGGCGGUAGGCCUAACACAUGCAAGUCGAACGGCAGCACAGUAAGAGCUUGCUCUUACGGGUGGCGAGUGGCGGACGGGUGAGGAAUACAUCGGAAUCUACUUUUUCGUGGGGGAUAACGUAGGGAAACUUACGCUAAUACCGCAUACGACCUACGGGUGAAAGCAGGGGAUCUUCGGACCUUGCGCGAUUGAAUGAGCCGAUGUCGGAUUAGCUAGUUGGCGGGGUAAAGGCCCACCAAGGCGACGAUCCGUAGCUGGUCUGAGAGGAUGAUCAGCCACACUGGAACUGAGACACGGUCCAGACUCCUACGGGAGGCAGCAGUGGGGAAUAUUGGACGAUGGGCGCAAGCCUGAUCCAGCCAUACCGCGUGGGUGAAGAAGGCCUUCGGGUUGUAAAGCCCUUUUGUUGGGAGAGAAAAGCAGCAGGUUAAUACCCCGCUGUUCUGACGGUACCCAAAGAAUAAGCACCGGCUAACUUCGUG
rnacentral:rRNA from 1 species